CUCUGUGAUGAAAACUGCUGCAUAGGAAGUGCCGUCUGAUGCGACAACUGACGAUUUUUAUUAGAGCUUUUCUGAGA